AGCGGCGGACGGGUGAGUAACACGUAGGCAACCUGCCCGCAAGACCGGGAUAACAUUCGGAAACGAAUGCUAAGACCGGAUACGCAAGAGGGAGGCAUCUUCCUGUUGGGAAACACGGAGCAAUCUGUGGCUUGCGGAUGGGCCUGCGGCGCAUUAGCUAGUUGGUGGGGUAACGGCUCACCAAGGCGACGAUGCGUAGCCGACCUGAGAGGGUGAACGGCCACACUGGGACUGAGACACGGCCCAGACUCCUACGGGAGGCAGCAGUAGGGAAUCUUCCACAAUGGGCGCAAGCCUGAUGGAGCAACGCCGCGUGAGUGAGGAAGGCCUUCGGGUCGUAAAGCUCUGUUGCCAGGGAAGAAUAAGGGUGAGGUGACUACUCACCCGAUGACGGUACCUGAGAAGAAAGCCCCGGCUAACUACGUGCCAGCAGCCGCGGUAAUACGUAUGGGGCGAGCGUUGUCCGGAAUUAUUGGGCGUAAAGCGCGCGCAGGCGGUUUCUUAAGUCUGGUGUUUAAGUGCGGGGCUCAAC
rnacentral:rRNA from 1 species